rnacentral:rRNA from 1 species
CGAAAGCCUGACGGAGCAAGACCGCGUGAGGGAGGAAUGCCUUAGGGUUGUAAACCCCUUUUAUCUGGGAAGAACAAAAUGACGGUACCAGAUGAAUAAGCCUCGGCUAACUCCGUGCCAGCAGCCGCGGUAAUACGGAGGAGGCAAGCGUUAUCCGGAAUGAUUGGGCGUAAAGCGUCCGCAGGUGGCAAUGUAAGUCUGCUGUCAAAACCCAGGGCUCAACUCUGGUCAGGCAGUGGAAACUACAUAGCUAGAGUGCCGUAGGGGUAGAGGGAAUUCCCGGUGUAGCGGUGAAAUGCGUAGAGAUCGGGAAGAACAUCGGUGGCGAAAGCGCUCUACUGGGCCGCAACUGACACUCAGGGACGAAAGCUAGGGGAGCG